rnacentral:lncRNA from 10 species
GACUUUUCUCAUCUUGGUGUACCUAAUACCACUCUAGGACCCAUGAGGCAAACAUAGAGUUCAUACCUUGUGAGUGUCAUUUAUCUGAAAAGGCAGUAAUAGAUCCUUGAGUCUUCGAAUCAGAAUACAAGCUAAAUACUAAAUGUGCUAAAGCAGUGUAAGACUGGAUGUUGCUGGGUACUGAGGAAGGCCGGAAGGACUAGGAUGGAGCGUCAAGGAAGGCCUCGGGGGCAAGAGGAAGAAGACGUUGACUUAGGUUGGGCACAUCAGUAGCUGAGAGACUCCUCUGACCAUGGCCAGCCUCAGGAAGUGAGUGUCAACAGCCUUGCAGAUGGGAACUCAACUCCUGGGUACCCAUGCCUGAAAAGACGUAAGUCCUGCUCCCACCGGCACCAGACCCCCUGCCCUCCCUCUACCCCAAUACUAGAACUCCAGACCUCACCCCUCCUCCCCAGAGACAUAUCAGCAGGAAGUUAAGUCAGCUGGAACACUUUGUUCCCUUGACAUUUCUGUUUUAAUUCUGCAGCUGUGUUUAAGGCUUCAUGAAUUAUCUGUCCAGCACGGUCUGUUUGUCUGCCUAGUGCCUCUUCUCCCACUUCCCUGCACCAGGUCAUGAUUACCCUAAGGCUGGUAGAGCAGAACUGGAACUAGGGUUGGUAAGAAGGAAGUGGGAUGGUAAGAAAGGGCAUUAGGGACUGUAAUAUUAGCUGUUGAUGAGCUAAGGAUGAUGAUCUGAUUGCUUGCUCAAGGAGGAGGAAUUCCUAAAUCAUUAACAGUGUGCGUUGCCGAUAGCUCUCUUUCCUCACCCUCUCAUGGUAUUUAUCUCUACAUCACAUCAUAGUGAUGAAUAGGUGUGUCUUUUCUCCUCAGUAUUCUAUAGUGCCUACUUACAUGCCUUAUUCAUGCUUAUUCAUGUUCAGGAAGCAGUUGGUAAUUGAAGGAAUGAGCCUUCUCGCCUUCCUUUUAUCUCAAGUCAGCUUAUCACUUAAAAACAAAAACAAAAACAAGCCAUAGCUUCCAAAUUCAACUUGGUCCUGCUCAGGGUGGUAUUUCUUAAUUUCUUAUAGCUGCAAUUCACAGGUCUGUAUCCUUGCUUGCCAAUGUCUGUUUUGGUAUUCAUGGUAGUUGGCUCUGAGACAUAUCAGAGCACUAUAUUGUUCUUUCCUGGUUGCUUUUUCUUCUGCUUCUCAUCAAAGUCUAGAGAGAAACUCAGUUUCUAAAGCCAUUAAGAACCUAGUAGGAAAAUGGUGAUUAGUCUCUCCAAGUUCUUCUUCCUCAGCAGACCCACGAAGAGUGUUCUCCAUUCACUGGUCAAUCAGGCUCACAUGUGUGAAACGUCAAGGUUGGCCUUAAAGGACCACCCGGGCAAAUGACUUAUCGUUAGUUACGUGAGCUGGGUAUGUUUUGUCAACCACCCCGCUUGAAACCUAAGCAUGAGAGAACGUAGCUCACAAGACAGGUAUGGCCCCAUAUGUCUCCAUAAGCCCACAUCUAGAAAAUACGUAUGCAGAUUUUUCUGUUGCCAGUUGGUCAUCCUGAGCUAUCAUUUCUAAUGUGUGACUAGUUUCAACCAAAUUUAAUAUUUUAAAACCAGUCUCAAAGCCCUAUAUUUUAAAAAGUAAAACUAUAAGUGGGCCUGGCAUGGUGGCUCACGCCUGUAAUCCCAGCACUUUGGGAGGUUGAGGAGGGCAGAUCACAAGAUCAGGAGUUCAAGACCAGCCUGAUUAAUAUUGUGAAACCCCAUCUCUACUAAAAAUACAAAAAUAAGCCGGGCGUGGUGGCACGCACCUGUAGUCCCAGUUGCUCGGGAGGCUGAGGCAGGAGAAUCACUCGAACCCGGGAGGCAGAGGUUGCAAUGAGCCGAUAUCAUGCCAUUGCACUCCAGCCUGGGCAACAGAGUGAGAUUCCAUCUCAAAAAACAAAAACAAAACAAAACAAAACAAAACAAAACUGUAUAAAGCCCACAAUUAACAUUAUACUCAACAGUGAAAAACUGAAAGCUUUCUUUUUUUUUUUUUUCUUUCUUUUUU